rnacentral:rRNA from 1 species
UCGGGAAUUUUGGGCAAUGGGCGAAAGCCUGACCCAGCAACGCCGCGUGAGGGAUGAAGUAUUUCGGUAUGUAAACCUCGAAAGAAUGGGAAGAAUAAAUGACGGUACCAUUUAUAAGCUCCGGCUAACUACGUGCCAGCAGCCGCGGUAAUACGUAGGGAGCAAGCGUUGUUUGGAUUUACUGGGCGUAAAGGGCGCGUAGGCGGCGCGGUAAGUCACUUGUGAAAUCUCUGAGCUUAACUCAGAACGGCCAAGUGAUACUGCUGUGCUAGAGUGCGGAAGAGGCAACCGGAAUUCUUGGUGUAGCGGUCAAAUGCGUAGAUAUCAAGAGGAACACCUGAGGCGAAGGCGGGUUGCUGGGCCGACACUGACGCUGAUGCGCGAAAGCC